GUCCUGGGAUAGCUCAGUCAGUAGAGCACGAGACUCUUAAUCUCAGGGUCAUGAGUUCGAGUUCCACAUUGGGCA
rnacentral:tRNA from 1 species